rnacentral:lncRNA from 1 species
GAGAAGAACGUGGCUCUUUUUUUCUUUUUGGGAUUUUUUUCCAUUCUCAAAAUAAAAAUAAAAAUAAAAAUAAAUUAAAAUAGCUAAAACUAAUAAAUAUUUUAGCAAUUAAAAAAACAAAUCUAAAAUAAAAUUACUCCCAUAAACACACACGAAUAUUCGAAUCCAGAACCCAGAGGCAAAUUAGCAGAAAAUAAACCACCA